ACAGCCAGUGUAACAGUUCAGUGCAGGGUUAACAUUACACCAAAAAGGGAACACCCUCAACAUGUUUAGCAAUAUUAUGACCUGAGCAGUUCGUUUAGGAGCAUAUUAAACGACUUUUAUGUCACACAAAGGAUAACACAAGGUGACCUACAUGGGAAAACAAUGUGACUAAAUGUGUGAGUUACACAACUUUCAUACUCACCGGGGUGAGUCUGGGCCAGGAUUGGACCUAAGUUUGCUGAAGGCUUUCCAACUCCAGCAAGAUUUUGAGCACGCACGCGGAAGAGAAGGGAUGCUCCAGCCUUCAGCCCUGAAACCUACAUCAACAAACGACUUUCAAAGGCCUUCCAGCCCUCCUCUCCAGCAGAGGCCUCCUUAACAUCCACAUAGUAGCCGUUGACAGGAGUGCGACCGUGAAAUGCGGGUGGCUCCCACAGGAGCACCACUGAGGUGUCACGUACCUCAAGCACAUGGAGACCAACAGGAGCACCUGGAA